GAUUAGUGGAUCAACAGGUAUUAAACAGUUUAGAACAGUAGAUGGUUUCGGUCGAUAGUGGAUAUUUGGGUCUUUAAGGGUUAAAAUAGUGACUCGUCUCCCACUAAAAAAGUCACAAUCACAUCCAGUGAACUGCCUAAAGACUAAUAUUAAAAGAGAUUUAAACCUAAAACUUAAAAGGUAUAGUGUUUUGUUUUGUUUUGUUUAUAAACCACUCACAGGCCAAACCAGUGUAACAUGACUACACACUUCAACUCCUUUUGCUUUGUAAUAUGACAUGUAGCUAAUGUUUCGUGUUUUUAUGAUUUGUUGGAGUUUCUUCUAUGGUUUUUUUCAAGAGUAAAAACAAAUCCGGAGUGUUUUCCAGUCGACUGUGACAGCUGCUGCUCGUCUAAUGACGUCAACACUUGCACAACUCAUAAACACGGGAAUCUUUUCCCUCAUAAGUUACAUGAAUGCGCCAUCAGCAGUUACAUCGUUUUCUGCGGCAGACCUGCAGAGAAGGUUAAAAAUAUCUGUGAAAAAAACGUUAUUUCAGCCUCAGAGAACCAUGGGAAAUCUUUGGUCGUUACAGAAGCCCAUUUCAUUCAAAGUGAUCAAAGAAAAGAUCCUGU